CUACGGGUGCUCCAGUGAGGAAUAUUGGUCAAUGGGCGCGAGCCUGAACCAGCCAUCCCGCGUGCAGGAUGACGGCCCUAUGGGUUGUAAACUGCUUUUCUAUGCCAGGAAACCUGAUUACGUGUAAUCAGUUGCCGGUAGCAUAGGAAUAAGCAUCGGCUAACUCCGUGCCAGCAGCCGCGGUAAUACGGAGGAUGCAAGCGUUAUCCGGAUUCAUUGGGUUUAAAGGGUGCGCAGAUGGGCUUGUAAGUCAGUGGUGAAAUGCUGCCGCUUAACGGUAGAACUGCCAUUGAUACUGCGAGUCUUGAGUAUGGUUGAGGUAGGCGGAAUGUGUUGUGUAGCGGUGAAAUGCAUAGAUAUGACACAGAACGCCAAUUGCGAAGGCAGCUUACUAAGCCAUUACUGACGCUGAGGCACGAAAGCGUGGGGAGCGAACAGGAUUAGAUACCCUUGUAGUC
rnacentral:rRNA from 1 species